UCCAGUGACGAUGGCAAAGAGGCCACACCCGUUCCCAUCCCGAACACGGCAGUUAAGCUCUUUUGCGCCGAUGGUAGUUGGGGGUCUCCCCCUGUGAGAGUAGGACG
rnacentral:rRNA from 1 species